rnacentral:rRNA from 1 species
AGCGAACGCUGGUGGUAUGCUUAACACAUGCAAGUCGAACGAGUAUGGCCUAGCUUGCUAGGACCCAGCUAGUGGCGCACGGGUGAGUAACGCGUGGGAAUCUGCCUCAUGGUUUGGAAUAACAUUCAGAAAUGGAUGCUAAUACCGAAUAAUACCUUCGGGUCAAAGAUUUAUUGCCAUGAGAUGAGCCCGCGUUAGAUUAGCUUGUUGGUAGGGUAAAAGCCUACCAAGGCUACGAUCUAUAGCUGGUCUGAGAGGAUGAUCAGCCACACUGGAACUGAGACACGGUCCAGACUCCUACGGGAGGCAGCAGUGGGGAAUAUUGGACAAUGGGCGAAAGCCUGAUCCAGCAAUACCACGUGAGUGAUGAAGGCCCUAGGGUUGUAAAGCUCUUUCAGUAGGGAAGAUAAUGACGGUACCUACAGAAGAAGCACCGGCUAACUCCG